GAUGAACGCUGGCGGCGUGCCUAAUACAUGCAAGUCGAGCGAAGCGGGGACGGGUGAGUAACACGUGGAUAACCUCCUAUAAGACUGGGAUAACUUCGGGAAACCGGAGCUAAAACGGUUACUUAUAGAUGGAGCUGCGCUGCAUUAGCUAGUUGGUAAGGUAACGGCUUACCAAGGCUACGGUGCAUAGCCGACCUGAGAGGAUGAUCGGGCACACUGGAACAGAGACACGGUCCAGAGGCCUACGGUAGGCAGCAGUAGGGAAUCGUGCGCAAGGGGCGAAAGCCUGACGGAGCAACGCCGCGUGAGUGAUGAGGGUCUUCGGAUCGUAGAACUCUGGUAUUAGGGAAGCGGUACCUAAUCAGAAAGCCACGGCUAACUACGUGCCAGCAGCCGCGGUAAUUC
rnacentral:rRNA from 1 species